rnacentral:rRNA from 1 species
CACGUAGGGUGCGAGCGUUGUCCGGAAUUAUUGGGCGUAAAGAGCUCGUAGGCGGUGUGUCGCGUCGGCCGUGAAAACCUGCAGCUUAACUGUGGGCUUGCGGUCGAUACGGGCAUCACUGGAGUUCGGCAGGGGAGACUGGAAUUCCUGGUGUAGCGGUGAAAUGCGCAGAUAUCAGGAGGAACACCGGUGGCGAAGGCGGCAUCCUGGACCGACACUGACGCUGAGGAGCGAAAGCCAGGGGAGCAAACGGG